rnacentral:rRNA from 1 species
UCGGGAAUCUUGGUCAAUGGGCGAAAGCCUGAACCAGCAACUCCGCGUGAGGGAUGAAGGCCCUCGGGUCGUAAACCUCUGUCAGAAGGGAAGAAUAGGGUCGUUUCAAAUAGGUUCGACCUCUGACGGUACCUUCAAAGGAAGCACCGGCUAACUCCGUGCCAGCAGCCGCGGUAAUACGGAGGGUGCAAGCGUUGUUCGGAAUUAUUGGGCGUAAAGCGGGUGUAGGCGGCUUUGCAAGUCGGAUGUGAAAUCCCUGGGCCCAACCCAGGAACUGCAUUCGAUACUGCAUCGCUAGAGUCCCGGAGAGGAUGGCGGAAUUCCAGGUGUAGAGGUGAAAUUCGUAGAUAUCUGGAGGAACACCAGUGGCGAAGGCGGCCAUCUGGACGGUGACUGACGCUCAGACCCGAAAGCGUGGGGAGCAAACAGG